AUGUCUUCUUCGUCAGAACCACCCGGUUGGCUGCCAUCCGAGCUGCGCCUCCUGGUCACCGCCACCGCCACGCCCAGAGGUCGGCUUCUCGGGGACGUGGCUCCCAACUUUGAGGCCAAUACCACCGCCGGCCGCGUCCGUUUCCACGACUUUCUGGGAAACUCAUGGGGCUUUCUCUCCUCCCACCCUCGGGACUUUACCCCAGUGUGCCCCACAGAGCUCGGCAGAGCUGCAAAACUGGCACCGGCAUUUGCCAAGAGGAAUGGUAAGUUGAUUCCAAUUGCCCUUUCAACAGACAGUGUUGAGGACCAUCUUGCCUGGAGCAAGGAUAUCAAUGCUUACAAUGGUGAAGAGCCCACAGAAAAGUUACCUUUUCCCAUCUUCGAUGAUAAGAAUCGGGACCUUACCAUCCUGUUGGGCAUGCUGGAUCCAGCAGAGAAGGAUGAAAAGGAUAUGCCUGCGGCUGCUCGUGUGGUGUUUGUUGUUGGUGCUGAUAAGCUGAAGCUGUCUAUCAUCUACCCAGCUACCAUUGGCGGGAACUUUGAUGAGAUUCUCCCCGUAGUCACCUCUCUGUAGCUGACAGCAGAAAAGAGGGUUGCCACCCCAGUUGAUUGAAAGGAUGAGGAUAGUGUCAUGGUCCUUCCAACCAUCCCCGAAGAGGAAGCCAAAAAAAAAUUUUCCUGAAAGGAGUCUUCACCAAAGAGCUCCCACCUGGUAAGAAAUGCCUCCGCUACACACCCCGGCCUUAA